GCGAGCGUUGUCCNNAUUUACUGGGCGUAAAGAGCUNGUAGGUGGCUUGUCGCGUCGUUGUGAAAGUCCCGGGCUUAACUCCGGGUGUGCAGUCGAUACGGGCUGGCUUGAGUGCUGUAGGGGAGACUGGAAUUCCCGGUGUAGCGGUGGAAUGCGCAGAUAUCAGGAGGAACACCGAUGGCGAAGGCAGGUCUCUGGGCAGUCACUGACGNUGAGGAGCGAGAGCAUGGGUAGCGAACAGGAUUAGAUACCCUGGUAGUCCAUGCUGUAAACGGUGGGCGAUAGGUGUGGGGACNNUNCAUGGUUUCCGUNUCGUAGCUAACGC
rnacentral:rRNA from 1 species